rnacentral:rRNA from 1 species
CGGGGUGCAGCAGGCGCGAAAACUUUACAAUGCUGGAAACAGCGAUAAGGGGACCUCGAGUGCCAGGUUACAAAUCUGGCUGUCGUGAUGCCUAAAAAGCAUUGCAUAGCAAGGGCCGGGCAAGACCGGUGCCAGCCGCCGCGGUAACACCGGCGGCUCGAGUGGUAACCGUUAUUAUUGGGUCUAAAGGGUCUGUAGCCGGCCGGAUAAGUCUCUUGGGAAAUCCAGCAGCUCAACUGUUGGGCUUUCAGGAGAUACUGUCUGGCUCGAGGCCGGGAGAGGUGAGAGGUACUUCAGGGGUAGGGGUGAAAUCUUGUAAUCCUUGAAGGACCACCAGUGGCGAAGGCGUCUCACCAGAACGGACCUGACGGCAAGGGACGAAAGCUAGGGGCACGAACCGGAUUAGAUACCCGGGUAGUCCUAGCCGUAAACGAUACUCGCUAGGUGUCGGCCACGGUGCGACCGUUGUCGGUGCCGUAGGGAAGCCGUGAAGCGAGCCACCUGGGAAGUACGGCCGCAAGGCUGAAACUUAAAGGAAUUGGCGGGGGAGCACAAGGGCGAAUUCGCG